rnacentral:rRNA from 1 species
CACCAAACAGCUAGCUUAAACAAC